rnacentral:ncRNA from 2 species
GGCCCGUCCAAGGGGAGUUCCGGCAAGGAACUGAGAGGCCGACGGCCGCCGACAUGAUCGGCGCAGCGCGCGGCGACCCUCACGAACCUGAUCCAGGUCAUGCUGGCGUAGGGAUGGGAAUGCCGCAGGCG